GGGUUAAGGCUAUUUAUAGUACCCGUCUUGAAACACGGAUUAGGGAGUUUAUCUGUAGUGCGAGUCUUUGCACGUUAACUGUAAAGGCGUAGAGAAAGCAACUGGCGUUUGCAUGGCUACUGAGCAUUACUGAUAGGACCCGAAAGGUGGUGAACUUUGCCUGCACAGGUUGAAGUCAGGGGAAACUCUGAUGGAGGACCGUACGGGUUAUUGAUGUGCAAAUCAUUUUUCUGAUGUAGGUAAAGGUGCGAAAGACUCAUCGAACCACCUAAUAGCUGGUUUCCUCCGAAGUUUCCCUCAGGAUAGCUGUAAUGCAUUUAGUUAAGGGGAGUAGAGAUAUGGGUAGAGGUGCAGGGAGCCUUCGGGUUCUCAACUUAUUUCCAAACUUCGAACCUCCUUGUUAGGCAUUUACCUAACUGGAAAUGCUUAAAUGAAUUAGCGUUACAAGUGGGCUCUGACCGGUAAGCGGUCAUGGCGAAAUGGGAUGAACCAUACGUCUGAAUAAGGUGCCGAAAUGUACUAUCACUGAUACCAUAAAGGGAGUCCAUGUAUUUAGACAGCAGGUCGGUGCCCCUAAAAGCAGGUAUCCGCUAAAGAGUGUGUUAAAACUCACCUGCCGAAUACUAGGGCCCCGAAAAUGAAUGGCGCAUAUAGUACUACCGAUCUCAGACAUCAGUUCUAUUGAACUGAGAGUAGGGGGAUGUGGACAUUUUUGGGAAGGUGCAAUGUGAGUU
rnacentral:ncRNA from 1 species